AUAGGUGGUUCUCACUAUUGUCGAUUUUGUUCGAGCGAGUUUGACUUCCCACGGGGACUAUCAGCAACAUUCUUGCAGGAGUUUGGUAAUUUCAAGUCUCCAAUGUACUCAAGACUUCCUCAGUAUUGACACCACCGCUGCCAUUGGUGAUCGAUGACGGUAGUUGAGGUUGAAUCAAGCAGAGGGCAGAACACGAAAGGCGCGUACACGGUUAUUUGUUGAUCAUGGAAAUUAGGAGAAGAAGGUGAUGCAACUGGUCUGUCAA